UGAGAACCUCAGAGACUGAAGUUCUUUAUUUAUCCACUGGAGAGGUACAGCAUGGUCAGCAAUAGUGCAAGUUUGUCUGUACUGCCUCUCUCCAAUGUGCUUGAAACCUGACCCUGACGACGGAUCAUUUCUAUGGGUGUGGACAGUCCAGCUUGGCCUCUCAAGGGAGAUUGCU
rnacentral:sRNA from 1 species